CUGAGCGGCAUCUCUGAUCUGGCUCUGUCAGCAGCCAUAGCACCUGCAGGUCAGCCUAGGUAAGCCACCUGCAGGUCAGCCUAGGCAAGCCACCUGCAGGUCAGCCUAGGUAAGCCACCUGCAGGUCAGCCUAGGUAAGCCACCUGCAGGUCAGCCUAGGUAAGCCACCUGCAGGUCAGCCUAGGUAAGCCUAGCUAGCUAAGCAGGUCUGGGCCUACUUGGAUGGGAGACCAAAUUAGGAAAGCUGGGUUGCUGGUGAAACAGGUGUUGGUGUGGCCAAAAGGUCUGUGUGGAUGUCCCAGUGCAGUGAUGGGGACACUUUGCUAAAAAAUGGUGCUGUCCUUCAGAUGAAAU